rnacentral:misc_RNA from 1 species
AACGCACGAGACCUGCGGACCUGCGGAGGGAUCAUUAGUGAACGCCCUCACGGGCUUAUAACUAUUCCAAACCUCUGCGAACCGUGCCCUUCGGGGCUAUUUUACAAACAUGGUGUAAUGAACGUCAUAUAUCAUAACAAAACAAAACUUUCAACAAUGGAUCUCU